rnacentral:rRNA from 1 species
GACGAACGCUGGCGGCGUGCUUAACACAUGCAAGUCGAACGGAAAGGCCCUGCUUUUGUGGGGUGCUCGAGUGGCGAACGGGUGAGUAACACGUGAGUAACCUGCCCUUGACUUUGGGAUAACUUCAGGAAACUGGGGCUAAUACCGGAUAGGAGCUCCUGCUACAUGGUGGGGGUUGGAAAGUUUCGGCGGUUGGGGAUGGACUCGCGGCUUAUCAGCUUGUUGAUGGGGUAGUGGCUUACCAAGGCUUUGACGGGUAGCCGGCCUGAGAGGGUGACCGGCCACAUUGGGACUGAGAUACGGCCCAGACUCCUACGGGAGGCAGCAGUGGGGAAUAUUGCACAAUGGGCGGAAGCCUGAUGCAGCAACGCCGCGUGCGGGAUGACGGCCUUCGGGUUGUAAACCGCUUUCGCCUGUGACGAAGCGUGAGUGACGGUAAUGGGUAAAGAAGCACCGGCUAACUACGUG